CGUCCGGCAAUUUAUCCAUCACGUCAGUCUCUCCUUUUCCCGUGGUUUUACUCCGCACGACCCGGGGAUGAGCUUAGGCUCUGUCGAUGUCGGGACCUAGCCUCUAGGUAGAGAUGUUGCCGCUGACUCUGUCCAAAAAAGAAUAGGGUCCGGUGCUCCAUUUUCCCCUCCCUAUCGGGCUUUCGCCACUGGAAAAGAUUCGAGCUUUUCCCCCCCGCUGGCUAUCUUCCCCGGGCGUGGCGACUGCUUCGUCGUGCUGCCUCGCCGUAGUACCUCCGGUCUUCUCCACCGGGCCGCCGGGAGGCCUUGCUUUGAGUCAUCUCCACCGUGCCGCCGAUGCUCAGGCCUAGGCAAUGGCCGCCGGUCAAGUCCAGAACAGAUAUUUUCCCAGAGUUUGGAAGGGGCGCGAAUCGGCGAUUUGUUCUCCCAUGUCCCCGAGUACCUCGCUGAUCCCUCCUCCCGGCGCUUCGCAAGGGGGCCAAUCCAGCGCCUGCGGUACCAGCGACGUCGACGAAGUUCACAUGGCGCGUGCCAGCUCGGCCUCAAGCUGUUUCUGUGGCGAUGGAGCUCCACCAACGACGCCAUGCCUACCUCGGUUCAACUCGUGCUGUAUCCAUGACCUGAACCCGUUGUGAGAAAGAUGCCAGACCUGAACCCGUGGUGAGAAAGAUGACAGGUCAUCUCGCUCGAUCCUGUAUCCCAAAAAGUCAGGAACUACAUCCAUGGAGGUCCUAUAGUUGCGUCAUUUGCGAGAGUCGACGGAUCUAGCAUCUCCCACCAACACAGCGUCCGGCGACGAACCAGAGCCAGCUCAGAUGCCACCGUCGUGGACCGGCGUUGUGUCAUGUGAGAAACAAAUUUGCGUCGAGCAGUUUUGGUCAUAUGUAACCUGCGCCAAUGUCUUUCUAAUUGUGAAUUACUAGUAAUACUCUACGAACCAAGGGAUAAAUAGUCCCACUUACGAACA